AGAGUUUGAUCCUGGCUCAGGACGAACGCUGGCGGUGUGCUUCACACAUGCAAGUCGAGCGAAUGAAGUAGGUAGCUUGCUACUUAUGGAUUUAGCGGCGGACGGGUGAGUAAUAUAUAGGAAUCUGCCUUAGAGCGGGGAACAACAGACCGAAAGGUUUGCUAAUGCCCCAUAGGUAUGCAGUCUUCGGAUUGUAUAUUAAAGGAGUAAUCCACUCUAAGAUGAGCCUGUAUCCGAUUAGCUAGUUGGCGGGGUAAAGGCCCACCAAGGCUACGAUCGGUAGUUGGUCUGAGAGGAUGAUCAGCCACAAUGGGACUGAGACACGGCCCAUACUCCUACGGGAGGCAGCAGUGGGGAAUUUUACACAAUGGGGGAAACCCUGAUGUAGCGACACCGCGUGAACGAAGAAGCCUUUUGGGGUGUAAAGUUCUGUCGGCUGGAACGAAAAAAAUGACGGUACCAGCAAAGGAAGCAUCGGCUAACUACGUGCCAGCAGCCGCGGUAAGACGUAGGAUGCAAGCGUUGUCCGGAUUUAUUGGGCGUAAAGAGUUCGUAGGCGGUUAUUUAAGUCUGAUGUUAAAUACUGUGGCCCAACCACAGAACUGCAUUGGAUACUGGAUGACUUAAGUGCGGUAGAGGCAAGUGGAAUUCCCAGUGUAGCGGUGAAAUGCGUAGA
rnacentral:rRNA from 1 species